UCUAUUGUGGCAGAAGUUAUGCAAUAAAUUUAAGAUUUAUUUAUAAGAUUAAAAUUAAAUCUUUUUUAGAA
rnacentral:tRNA from 1 species